GACGUAGGGGGCGAGCGUUGUCCGGAUUCAUUGGGCGUAAAGAGCUCGUAGGCGGCUUGGCAAGUCGGGUGUGAAACCUCCAGGCUCAACCUGGAGACGCCACCCGAUACUGCCAUGGCUAGAGUCCGGUAGGGGACCACGGAAUUCCUGGUGUAGCGGUGAAAUGCGCAGAUAUCAGGAGGAACACCGGUGGCGAAGGCGGUGGUCUGGGCCGGCACUGACGCUGAGGAGCGAAAGCGUGGGGAGCGAACAGG
rnacentral:rRNA from 1 species